rnacentral:tRNA from 1 species
GGGGAUGUAGCUCAGUGGUAGAGCACUUGCCUAGCAAGCACAAGGCCCUGGGUUCGGUCCCCAGCUCCA